CACGUAGGCGGACCGGAAAGUUGGGGGUGAAAUCCCGGGGCUCAACCCCGGAACUGCCUUCAAAACUAUCGGUCUGGAGUUCGAGAGAGGUGAGUGGAAUUCCGAGUGUAGAGGUGAAAUUCGUAGAUAUUCGGAGGAACACCAGUGGCGAAGGCGGCUCACUGGCUCGAUACUGACGCUGAGGUGCGAAAGCGUGGGGAGCAAACA
rnacentral:rRNA from 1 species